GCCGUUGUAGCUCAGCAGGCAGAGCAACUGACUUGUAAUCAGUGGGUCGUAGGUUCGAUUCCUAUCAACGGCA
rnacentral:tRNA from 1 species